AACACAGAACAUCCGUGGCGUUGCCAGGGGAGAUGGAUUUUUAUUGAUUUGAUCACAAUCUGACACUGUCACACUGUGACAAACUAGUCCAAAAUAUGUCAAAAUUUUCGAAGUAGACCAUUUGAAUGCACAAAAUGUUUUCCCGAUUCCUCAGCGCAAUUGGAGACUGGUUUGGAGACGAAAAACCGCCUGCCGAUCUUGGCGAUCCGCUCGACUUUGAAUCGGGGCCGUUUCUGGAUUACGCCAUCUCGUGGGUUUAUAUAUUUAAACGGCUGCUUAUUCCCAGAGAGUACCGGAUGAAGGUGGGGAAUGUUCGCUGCGUGUCGGUUUGUGACAGCAAAAAACGCAAAACAUGUAAAACAUAACACAUAAUUUUAAUAAAGUAGUUAUGGACUAAGA